rnacentral:rRNA from 1 species
GACGAACGCUGGCGGCGGGCUUAACACAUGCAAGUCGAACGGAAAGGCCCUGCUUUCGUGGGGUGCUCGAGUGGCGAACGGGUGAGUAACACGUGAGUAACCUGCCCUUGACUUUGGGAUAACUUCAGGAAACUGGGGCUAAUACCGGAUAGGAGCUGCUGCUGCAUGGUGGGGGUUGGAAAGUUUCGGCGGUUGGGGAUGGAUUCGCGGCUUAUCAGCUUGUUGGUGGGGUAGUGGCUUACCAAGGCUGUGACGGGUAGCCGGCCUGAGAGGGUGACCGGCCACAUUGGGACUGAGAUACGGCCCAGACUCCUACGGGAGGCAGCAGUGGGGAAUAUUGCACAAUGGGCGGAAGCCUGAUGCAGCAACGCCGCGUGCGGGAUGACGGCCUUCGGGUUGUAAACCGCUUUCGCCUGUGACGAAGCGUGAGUGACGGUAAUGGGUAAAGAAGCACCGGCUAACUACGUG